AGGAACGACGACCUAAAGGACAACAUAUUCCGGCGAACGAUCACCAUUUCAAUCUCUUGGGGAUCUUUACGGCCGGAGCCGGACUUGGGAUCUCGUCAGAAGCUUCACGUCAUCUUCAAAAGGGGAAUUCUGAGGAGAGAGCUGCAAAGUUUACCGAAUCGCAACCAAUGGGUGUGACGAAGAUCAGCUGUGGCUAACGCGAGAUAUUGUUGCGUCACCAGGUAUCACUGGCUUUUUUCUUAUUGUCGAACUGAGAACUAAUCGAGGCCUAGAGGAAUCUCCAAUAAGAAAUAAUUUGAGGAUAGAAUCAGCCCAACGAACAGUUUCCAGUGAAGAGGCCGGAGGGAGUUCGACGAUAUUUCUUGCCGGUUAGUGCACGAGAGGACAUUUCAAACGGUAUCAUUCGUCAAAAUAUUGUCAUUCAUGGAGUCUUCAUUUGGGCACCUACAAUCUAUUGGAGAAAUAAAACAUCAGAAUGAAAGUUUUUUUGCUCUUAUUUGAUUUCAUCUUGAUAUAUUUUCAAACUUAAAUCUUACUCUUGUCUUCUUCGGAUACGCAAUUUAUCAGUAAUGCUGGAGUUUGCAUUUAUUUAGCUGCUCAAAAGAAGUUUUGGAUAACUUCCAAAUCCAAUUUUGACUAUCGGAGCACGGUAAACAUGAACGUUCUGGCAUAAUUUCAUGGUAAGACAAAAUGAGAGUCUUCUACUGGUUUUAUCAAUUAAGCCAGAAAAUAUCAUGUAUGGGCUUACAAGCAAGACCUGCUUGCUGGAUCAUUGUUAACAGUGGAAGAUCUUCAUCUUCUAUACUUAGUCAUGGUUGGCAUCAUGAGUUUGGUAGGUAUCAAAAAUUAAAUUUCAGCUCAAACAUUUCCCAUAUUUCUGGCACCACCCAAUCAGUUCUUUCAUGGGAAAGCUCAUUAUGUGAAUCUCCCCUGAGAAAACUUGAAGCUGCUUUGGAAGAGAACAGUGUGGAUGAUGCUUGGGAAGUUUUCUGUAGCUACAAAAGCUUGCAUGGAUUCCCUAAACAAGUGCUUGUGAAAAAAAUGAUCAACUUGAUGACAUGCUCAUUAAGUUCUCACUGGCUUCUUAAAGCAUAUCAGUUGGUGCUUUUGGUUUUGUAUAAGAGUCCUCAUCUUCUUGACUAUGACUCUCUGACCAGAUUAGCUCUCGUUCUCGCCAGAAGUCAAAUGCCUGUUCCGGCAUCCACAAUAAUGAGGAUUUCAUUAGAUAGAUUUAAAUUUCCAUCAUUCAAUUUAGUUAGCACAUUGUUUUAUCAUUUGGUUAAGUCAGAUAUUGGAUCAUACCUUGCAUCUAAUAUUCUUAUUGAGAUUUGUGAACAGUGUCUACAUAAAAAGGCAGAUACAAAAAAUUCUAAGCAACUGAAGCUCAUAAACCAAAGUAUUACAAUGUUCAACCUUGUAUUGAAUUCAUGCUCAAAAUUUGAGUCUUUCGAAAAAGCUCUGCUAAUAAUAAAGUUCAUGUCACAGAUAGGAGUGGCAGCUGAUGCAAAUUCGAUUAUUAUAUUUGGUCGAAUAUAUGAGAAACUCGGGCAACAUGAUGAAUUGAUGAGAUUGAAAGCACAUGUUGAUAGCGUUGUUUAUGUUGGAUUAAGUCGCCAUUAUGCUCAGUUCUAUGACAGUUUGCUGAACUUGCUUUUCAGAUGUAAUGAUCUUAAUACUGCCAUGGAAGUUAUGCUGGAUUUGUAUGGUCGACCAAAAUCCUUUCAAUGUGGUGAUGGUUUAAAUGCAUUAAAAAAUGGAUUAAGAAAACCUUGCGUGCUUCAGAUUGGAUCAAACAAUCUGGCUAUGGGAUAUAAAAUUGUGAUUGAACCUGAUCACUUGGGGAGUGAUUUCAUUUUGGAUCCAUCAGAUCCAUCUACGUUGGUUCUCUUCUAUGACGGAAAGGUUGCUCCAAGUACAAUGGCUCUUUCAAAGCUUAUAAAUGGCUUCGUUAAAGAAAGACGAGUCGGUGAAAUUUCAAAAUUUCUAAUUGAAAUGGAGAAGAAACUUGAUUCAAAAGACGCCAGUUUUAGCACAUUCGUGUUAGCUGCGUGUAUGAAGUUGGGUUGGUUGGAGACUGUCCAUGAUGUUUUAGAUGACUUAGAGUCAGUUGGCAUUUCUGUUGAGGCCAUUUUGUACAAAUCACUAUUUCAAGCCUACCGGAAGAAAAACCUUAUUGGAGAAUCUAAAGUGGUGCUGAAGCAGAUGAGAAAAAUUGGCCUAUUUGCUAACUUAUCUGAUGAGGAUGCUGUAAGCUCAUGUCUUUCUGGAGAUUUCUCUAUAAAACCACUCGAAAAUAAACAAUAUUUUGUAGGGAAUAUAUCAUGCUUUGUAGGGCAUCUAAGUAGAGAGAGCAGGGAUAAGGACUCGAUCUCUCCAUUGGUUUAUGAUUUUAAUAGUACAAUCCUAUUCUUUUGCAAGGCCAAUAUGAUGGAAGAUGCUAUUAAAACAUUGAAGAGGAUGCAGCAGAAAAACAUCCAUCCUACAAUCCAGACAUUCAGCUAUCUAUUAAAUGGGUAUUCUUCGUUAAAGAUGUAUCGCCAAAUCACAAUAUUGUGGGGAGAGAUUAAGAGAAGAUUUGAGGAUGGAGUUUUGUCUGUACACCAGGACUUUUUAGACUGUUUGCUUAUGAAUUUCCUUAGAGGUGGAUAUUUUGAGAGAGUAAUGGAAAUUGUUAAUUAUAUGAUAAGGCAUAACAUUUUUGCUGAUAAAUGGAAAUAUAAGGAGGAAUUCCUCAGGCUCCAUAAAGAUUUGUACAGGAAUUUAAAAGCUGCAAAUGCAAAAACAGAUGCUCAGAGGAAUAGGCUUGAGCAUGUUCAAGCUUUUAGGAAAUGGGCGAAUAUCGUUAGCCGGUAGAAAAGACAUAGUUAUAGAGGCUACAACUUACGACUUGAGUGAGCCUUUAACAUGUAUUGAUUGGUUGAUCCAAGGAAACUUUGGUGAGCAGCUAUAUUUGCUAAAGGCAUUUCGGUUUUAAAGAAAAUUUAGCAUUGGUAUUUCUUGGUCUUCUUUCCAGGAUGAACUUCAAAUAUCACUAUGACUAAUUUCAAGUGGAAUACAUGAAUGAUUGGGUGAUUUGCUAAAGGGAAGCCGAUUACUUUUAGCCAUCUUAUCAGCAAUACAGAAAGCCUUGUAAUUUAACGUAAGAACUCAUUUUUACAUGAUUUAUUGAGUGUUGUAAUUGUAUAGAGAUGGAGAUUAGAGAUCUAUGGCAAUGCAGUGCUGCAGAGCUCUUUAGUUUGAAAAUGGAGGUUCGGGCCGCAAUGGCAAACGUGUUUGAAUCUUCUGAGUUUCUCUUCUUU